CAGUAGCCACGGUAACACCAGCAGCCCAAGUGGUGAUCGCGAUUAUUGGGCCUAAAGCGCUCGUAGCCGGGCCGGUAAGUCCCUUGUGAAAUCGGACGGCCUAACCGUUCGGCGUGCAAGGGAUACUGUCGGUCUUGAGGCCGGGAGACGUCCGAGGUACUCCGGGGGUAGCGGUGAAAUGUUCUAAUCCUCGGGGGACCACCGGUGGCGAAGGCGUUCGACGAGAACGGGCCUGACGGUGAGGGGCGAAGGCUAGGGGAGCAAACGGGAUUAGAUACCCGCGUAGUCCCUGUCUCUUAUU
rnacentral:rRNA from 1 species